rnacentral:miRNA from 1 species
AAAGGGCUUCUGGUGAGGGUGG